rnacentral:rRNA from 1 species
UGCAGCGGAUCCGCAUGGAUAUGUUGUUUAAAAGGUUUACCGCCUUGGGAUAGGCUUGCGUCUGAUUAGCUAGUUGGUGUGGUAACGGCACACCAAGGCUACGAUCAGUAACUGGUUUGAGAGGAUGAUCAGUCACACUGGAACUGAGACACGGUCCAGACUCCUACGGGAGGCAGCAGUGAGGAAUAUUGGGCAAUGCUCGAAAGAGUGACCCAGCAACGCCGCGUGGAGGAUGAAGGUAUUCUAUAUCGUAAACUCCUGUGAGAGCAGACGAAAGACAGAUUAUUAAUCUGGAUGACUGUAUGCUCAGAGGAAGCCCCGGCUAACUACGUG